rnacentral:rRNA from 1 species
GAAUUUUGGACAAUGGGCGAAAGCCUGAUCCAGCAAUGCCGCGUGCAGGAUGAAGGCCUUCGGGUUGUAAACUGCUUUUGUACGGAACGAAAAGCUUUGGGUUAAUACCCGUGGGUAAUGACGGUACCGUAAGAAUAAGCACCGGCUACGUACGUGCCCGCAGCAGCGGUAAUACGGAGGGUGCAAACGUUAAUCGGAAUUACUGGGCGUAAAGCGUGCGCAGUCGGUUUUUGAAGACAGAGGUGAAAUCCCCGGGCUCAACCUGGGAACUGCCUUUGUGACUGCAAGGCUAGAGUACGGCAGAGGGGGGUGGAAUUCCGCGUGUAGCAGUGAAAUGCGUAGAUAUGCGGAGGAACACCGAUGGCGAAGGCAACCCCCUGGGCCUGUACUGACGCUCAUGCACGAAAGCGUGGGGAGCAAACA